rnacentral:misc_RNA from 1 species
UCUCCGUUGGUGAACCAGCGGAGGGAUCAUUACUGGAACCGCAAGAUCCCACAACCCCUGUGAACCUACCGAAACGUUGCCUCCGCGGGCGCCCGGCCCCGCGCCGGGGGCUGAGCCCGGCGGCGGCCCCCUACUCCUGUCCCUGCAACGUGGCAUCUCAGAGGCCCAGAAAACAAGCAAAAACUUUCAACAACGGAUCUCUUGGCUCUA